rnacentral:rRNA from 1 species
AUGGUUAAGUGACUAAGCGUACACGGUGGAUGCCUUGGCAGUCAGAGGCGAUGAAAGGCGUAAUAACUUGCGAUAAGCCCAGAUUAGGUAGUAAUAACCUUUUGAGUCUGGGAUUCCUGAAUGGGGAAACCCACUUACAUAAGUAAGUAUCCUGUUGUGAAUACAUAGCAACAGGAGGCAAACCGGGGGAACUGAAACAUCUAAGUACCCCGAGGAAGAGAAAUCAACCGAGAUUCCGAAAGUAGCGGCGAGCGAAAUUGGAUUAGCCCUUAAGCUUUUAAUGAGACAGAUGAAGGCUCUGGAAAGUGCCGCAACAAAGGGUGAUAGCCCCGUAAUCGACAUCUCAUAAUCAGUGAAAACGAGUAGGGCGGGACACGUGAUAUCCUGUCUGAAUAUGGGGGGACCAUCCUCCAAGGCUAAAUACUACUGACUGACCGAUAGUGAACCAGUACCG